rnacentral:lncRNA from 1 species
GGAUGUUGUUCCUAUUUUCAAUUCCUAGAUCUGGAGCAGUACUCCUAGGAGUAUGCCAGGUUAAUCUAGGGGCUUGUAAUCCCAAUCUGUUGAUGUUGGAGGGUUUUUCAAGCUCUGAAUCAUUAGAUUCAUCGCUUUGGGCUUGAUCUAGGGCACUGAUAUUCCUACUGCUUUGAGGAGUAUCUGGCACUAGAUUUUUG